AUAUAUAUAACAUAUAUAUAAAUACACUAACUUUACUAUAAAUGUGAUCGUUAUUGAACGUAUAAAUACACCCAACCUUGGGAAGAGAUGUGUAAAGGCCAUAUUUAGUUCCAAAACUGUUAUUAACACCGAACAUCAAAGAGUCAGUGCCAAUUUUAAAUUAAGUAGCGGUUAAGAACUUAGUCGGUAGAGAUCCAAGUUUCAGAUAAUUUUGUACUCCAUUUUCGAUUGGUUGUAUUCAGAGCUGCGGUCUAGACAGAGUUAAAUAUCAAGGCGUGAUUUAUUUUUGUAAAUUGAUUAUAAUAUAUGGUUUAAUUUUAAAUUACUGGGGAACGAAAAUGGUUGGCUCGAUAUUUUGAAGUAAAACUUCUUACGUACGCUUGACUUGGGGAGUAAGCUGGUGAAUUCGUGACGAGAGCGUUAUGAAAAUCGUGAUCGGGCGAGGCGAACGGAAGUUGAGAGAGAGAGGCAAGUUAGCGAAGAUAGAGAGAGAGUUACGUUUCGUAUAUUACUGUAGGGGAAAUCAAAGAAGUCUUACUUCAGUCGUGUGGUCUAAAUUACAAUUGUUUUCUUAUUUUCAGGACAAGGUUUUUACAAACUAUAUUUAAAAGAAAUCAAUAUAUUCAUGACAAGGAAUAUAGUGCUACGAAUAUAUAAAUAAUUAGCCAACCUGGCGAAAUUCGUGCUUUUUUUGUGGAAUAAUUAUAUAUAUCGAAAUAAAAUAUGGCCUAUCUUUCAAGUUGUAUUUAACUGCACACGGUACGCAAAUUUGAUUAAAAUCGGUUAAGUUAUUUAGGGGUCCAUCGCGGACAACGACGUGAUGCAUAAUCAUUAUACAUAGUAUAAAACAAAGUCGCUUCCCGUUAUCUGUAUGCUUAGAUCUUUAAAACAACGCAACGGAUUUUGAUGCGGUUUUCUUUAGUAAAUAGAAUGAUUCCAGAGGGAGGUUUAUAUGUAUAAUACAUGCAUAAUAUAGCAGAGAAACACUGAUAGUUUUAGGCGUUUCUAAUGUAAUGUCGUAAAUAAACACAUUUUUUUUGGCGUUAACAUUGAAAAUAUUUAUUUUAUAUUUUAUAUUUAGUAUCAGCAUUGCACCUGUGCGGGGCAGGUCGCUAGUUCAUAUAUAUUAAGAUUUCACAAUUUAAUAAAGAAUAUUCGUAAUCGCUAUAAAACUGAAAACGUUUUUAAGUAGUCCACAACUAAAAUUAACUGCUCCAGUAAGUUGAGCAGUCUCAAACGCAGAAUAAAGUUUUGGGACCGUGGACCGUCUCUACUCCAAUCUUGACCGUUGGCAAACUUAUCUGAUAACCCAAUUCUUGUCGAUAAUAAUAAAAGACGGUUCCAAACUUAGGACGAGACGUUCAAGUAUCUUUAUUACUUCCGACACCAAAAAUAUCUCAAAGAGAAGUUUUCAACUCAGUUUUCAACUCCAGUCGAAACCGUGUAUCUGAGUCGGCAAUCAUUUUAUCUUUGCUUUUGUUCUCGUAAUGGAUGCUACGUCAGUUUUAUUUAAUAUCAUGUAAAAUUAAGUAAAGAGAUUUUUAAAGGGUUUUUUUGUUAUAAAACUAAUAUUUAUUAUGAUAUGAUAUUAAAAAAAUUGUAUAGAAUUUCCUAAUGUGUGGGUAACACAAAAAUAAAUCAUACAUACAUAUAACCACGCCUCUUUCCCGUUAAUAAAUCUUAAAAUAAAUCGUACGAAUUAAUAUUUAUUUCUUUACUAUUUUACGUCAGUUUCAAAUUAAAUUGAAUUUUAUGAUGGGUUUUAUAAUUUUUUUGCGUUGUUCUGAUACUUUCUUAUAUUCACCUCGAUGGCAACAAAAGUGUGUUAAGUACACUUUUGCUUAAAAAAAAACUACGAUUUGACUUUCCAAGAAGUUGAAUAUUUUAGAGUAGUAUUUACGCGAGUUUUAAAAAAAAUAUAGUAACACAAUUUAAUCUAUUUUGCGUGGUAUUCUUAAAAUUGGACUUACGCUUACGUUUCAACCUGUAAAAUCCUACUACUGGACAUAGGCUUCUUUCCCCAUGUAGGAGAAGGAUCAGAGAAUAAUUAAGGAGAAGAAAAAAGCUUAGAAGAAAAUUUGACUAAAUUCAAUGAAAUUAACUACAGAAAAGUCAAAUUUUUAAAUUUAUUAUAAAGUACUCGUAGUUGUAAAAUCAUAAGUUAUUUUAAAAAUUGAUCCAUGUUUGAGAAUGAUCUUUUGAAAUGUUAGUAGUAGUUAUUGUUUGAAACUAAUACUAUUUUAAAAAAUUUAGUUUCCUAAUUUUUGUUUUUAUAUAUUUUUCUUCUUAGUCGCACACUCUUGUCAGAGUGGUCGUGGCUGCGAUUUUUUUUUCUGUUGAAGGCGUCGCGAGUACACUGGACCAUGGUGGACUCAGUAGCCCUUGUGAUGAUGUCCAUCCAGCGGGUUGGCGUUCAACCGCGUGCUCUCGUGCCUGCACCACUAUACUCUCCAUCUCAUAAUAAUGGAUUUCGACCAGUCAUCGUGCCAUAUUCCGACAAAAAAAAUUGAAAUGGUAGUUUCAACGUAUUUAAGUACUGAAUGUAAGAUGAUAGAAAUCUAUCUCAAGACAACUGUCAAAAUAAAUUUAACGAGUGAUUCUCUUGGUUAAUUGAAAACGAACGAAGAUAGAAAUAGUAACAAUAUAGCGAAAGAACAGUGGCGAGCCAAAAGCUAGCUAAUAUGUUUAAAUGGAUCAUUCGAGUUUUAUUAGCAAGGGACUUUCCAAGAAAAUAAUUACAAAAAGGGAUAGACAUAUCAAAUUCGUAAUUAAUAAGGGGCUAUUAUUCCCUCGAUAAUAUUGUAUAAUU
rnacentral:misc_RNA from 1 species